GAUGAACGCUGGCGGCGUGCCUAAUACAUGCAAGUCGAGCGAACAGAUGAGGAGCUUGCUCCUCUGACGUUAGCGGCGGACGGGUGAGUAACACGUGGAUAACCUACCUAUAAGACUGGGAUAACUUCGGGAAACCGGAGCUAAUACCGGAUAAUAUAUUGAACCGCAUGGUUCAAUAGUGAAAGACGGUUUUGCUGUCACUUAUAGAUUGAUCCGCGCCGCAUUAGCUAGUUGGUAAGGUAACGGCUUACCAAGGCAACGAUGCGUAGCCGACCUGAGAGGGUGAUCGGCCACACUGGAACUGAGACACGGUCCAGACUCCUACGGGAGGCAGCAGUAGGGAAUCUUACGCAAUGGGCGAAAGCCUGACGGAGCAACGCCGCGUGAGUGAUGAAGGUCUUCGGAUCGUAAAACUCUGUUAUUGGGGAAGAACAAAUGUGUAAGUAACUAUGCACGUAUUGACGGUACCUAAUCAGAAAGCCACGGCUAACUACGUG
rnacentral:rRNA from 1 species